GGCAGUAAAGUAGGGUGGUUAAGACAAGGGGCUCUGGAGCAAGACUGCCCAAGAUCAAAUCCUGGUGCUGCCA
rnacentral:tRNA from 1 species